UACAGAGGUCUCAAGCGUUGUUCGGAUUCAUUGGGCGUAAAGGGGUGCGUAGGCGGCGCGGUAAGUCGGGUGUGAAAUCUCGGAGCUUAACUCCGAAACUGCAUUCGAUACUGCCGUGCUUGAGGACUUGGAGAGGAGACUGGAAUUUACGGUGUAGCUGGUGAAAUGCGUAGAUAAUCGUAAGGAAGACCAGUGGCGAAGGCG
rnacentral:rRNA from 1 species